rnacentral:rRNA from 1 species
UACGUAGGGGGCAAGCGUUGUCCGGAUUUACUGGGCGUAAAGAGCGCGCAGGCGGUCGUUCAAGUCGCGUGUGAAAGCCCCCGGCUCAACUGGGGAGGGUCACGCGAUACUGAUCGACUCGAAGGCAGGAGAGGGAAGUGGAAUUCCCGGUGUAGUGGUGAAAUGCGCAGAUAUCGGGAGGAACACCCGUAGCGAAGGCGGCACUCUGGGCCGGUACUGACGCUGAGGAGCGAAAGCGUGGGGAGCAAACAGG